UGAACGAAAAGUGCCAGAGGAAUGAGCAGUGUUCUGUGGUAUUCGGAUCGGUUUGUCAGAACAACACAUGCGGCUGUAGGCAAGGAUAUGUCCCCUUCAAUGAUUCGGAAUGCAUUUCGUUAGACAUCCUUAAAAAUUUGUGUACAUCAACUAAGGAUUGUGAAGAUGUAUCUAAGAGAUGUUUAUUGACAGGAAAAUUCGGCGUUUGUGUAUGCAAACCUGGGUUUAUAGGAUUUGGAAACAAAUGUUUAAAGGGCAGUUUGAAACUAAAUGAAGCAUGUCAGCGAAAUGAGCAGUGUUCCGUGGCAUCUGGGUCUGUUUGCCAGAACGGUAUAU